rnacentral:rRNA from 1 species
UGGGGAAUAUUGCACAAUGGGCACAAGCCUGAUGCAGCCAUGCCGCGUGUGUGAAGAAGGCCUUCGGGUUGUAAAGCACUUUCAGCGGGGAGGAAGGCGAUAAGGUUAAUAACCUUGUCGAUUGACGUUACCCGCAGAAGAAGCACCGGCUAACUCCGUGCCAGCAGCCGCGGUAAUACGGAGGGUGCAAGCGUUAAUCGGAAUUACUGGGCGUAAAGCGCACGCAGGCGGUCUGUCAAGUCGGAUGUGAAAUCCCCGGGCUUAACCUGGGAACUGCAUUCGAAACUGGCAGGCUAGAGUCUUGUAGAGGGGGGUAGAAUUCCAGGUGUAGCGGUGAAAUGCGUAGAGAUCUGGAGGAAUACCGGUGGCGAAGGCGGCCCCCUGGACGAAGACUGACGCUCAGGUGCGAAAGCGUGGGGAGCAAACAGG